rnacentral:rRNA from 1 species
CACUCCUACGGGAGGCAGCAGUGGGGAAUAUUGGACAAUGGGCGCAAGCCUGAUCCAGCCAUGCCGCGUGAGUGAUGAAGGCCCUAGGGUUGUAAAGCUCUUUCACCGGUGAAGAUAAUGACGGUAACCGGAGAAGAAGCCCCGACUAACUUCGUGCCAGCAGCCGCGGUAAUACGAAGGGGGCUAGCGUUGUUCGGAUUUACUGGGCGUAAAGCGCACGUAGGCGGACUAUUAAGUCAGGGGUGAAAUCCCGGGGCUCAACCCCGGAACUGCCUUUGAUACUGGUAGUCUUGAGUUCGAGAGAGGUGAGUGGAAUUCCGAGUGUAGAGGUGAAAUUCGUAGAUAUUCGGAGGAACACCAGUGGCGAAGGCGGCUCACUGGCUCGAUACUGACGCUGAGGUGCGAAAGCGUGGGGAGCAAACAGGAUUAGAUACCCUUGUAGUCCCAU